rnacentral:rRNA from 1 species
GACGAACGCUGGCGGCGUGCCUAAUACAUGCAAGUUGAGCGCUGAAGGUUGGUACUUGUACCAACUGGAUGAGCAGCGCACGGGUGAGUAACGCGUGGGGAAUCUGCCUUUGAGCGGGGGACAACAUUUGGAAACGAAUGCUAAUACCGCAUAAAAACUUUAAACACAAGUUUUAAGUUUGAAAGAUGCAAUUGCAUCACUCAAAGAUGAUCCCGCGUUGUAUUAGCUAGUUGGUGAGGUAAAGGCUCACCAAGGCGAUGAUACAUAGCCGACCUGAGAGGGUGGUCGGCCACAUUGGGACGGAGACACGGCCCAAACGCCUACGGGAGGCAGCCGGAGGGAAUCUUCAGCAAUGGGCGAAAGUCUGACCGAGCAACGCCGCGUGAGUGAAGAAGGUUGUCGGAUCGUAAAACUCGGUUGGUAGAGAAGAACGUUGGUGAGAGUGGAAAGCUCAUCAAGUGACGGUAACUACCCAGAAAGGGACGGCUAACUACGUG